CCUACGGGUGGCUGCAGUGGGGAAUAUUGCACAAUGGGGGAAACCCUGAUGCAGCGACGCCGCGUGAGUGAUGAAGUAUUUCGGUAUGUAAAGCUCUAUCAGCAGGGAAGAAAAUUACUGCACUUGACUAUGAAUGGUCGGCUAACUACGUGCCAGCACCCGCGGCAAUCCGUAGGCGGCAGGCGUUAUCCGGAUUUACUGGGUGUAAAGGGUGAGUAGACGGCAGGGCAAGUCUGAAGUGAAAUGCAAGGGAGCAACCCUUGAACUGCUUUGGACACUGUGCUGCUGGAGUGAAGGAGAGGCAAGCGGAAUUCCUAGUGUAGCGGUGAAAUGCGUAGAUAUUAGGAGGAACACCAGUGGCGAAGGCGGCUUACUGGACGGCAACUGACGUUGAGGCUCGAAAGUGUGGGGAUCAAACAGGAUUAGAUACCCGGGUAGUC
rnacentral:rRNA from 1 species